rnacentral:rRNA from 1 species
UAUGCUUGUCUCAAAGAUUAAGCCAUGCAUGUCUAAGUCCAAGCUGUGUUCACACGGCGAGACCGCGGACGGCUCAUUAAAUCAGUCGGGGUCCAAAUGGGCCAGUGCAAAUCCUACUUGGAUAACUGUGGUAAUUCCAGAGCUAAUACAUGCAACUGAUAUCCCGAAGGCGGUGUUGGGGCUUGCUUGCCUUGCGCUGCGCUGCUCUGACGGAUGCUUUUAUUAGACCAAGCCGCUGAGGACUUGAGGGUUCGCGCUCUCUUGUUUGACUCGUGUGAUGGUGACUCUGGAUAACCAAAUUCUGACAAGCGCACGUACUUCUCUUCUGAGCGAGACGGCGCUGCCACUUUCGAGUGUCUGCCUUAUCAGCUAUCAACCGUUCGUUAUGCGCGACCGAUGGCUUUGACGGGUAACGGGGAAUCAGGGUUCGAUUCCGGAGAGGCAGCCUGAGAGACGGCUACCACGUCCAAGGACGGCAGCAGGCACGCAAAUUACCCAAUCCCAGCAAAUGGGGGAGGUAGUGACGAAAUCUAACGAUGCGGGCGCCCUUUCUGGGGCCCCGCAAUCGGAAUGGGCACUUUCUAAACAACCUGUUGAGAACCUAC